rnacentral:tRNA from 1 species
UGAGCGAGAGCUGUAAUUUAGAAGCGUCUAAUUGUUACUUAGAAGGUUGUGGAAUUCAUUUGCUUAG